UAGGGAAUCUUCCGCAAUGGGCGAAAGCCUGACGGAGCAACGCCGCGUGAGUGAUGAAGGUCUUCGGAUCGUAAAACUCUGUUAUUAGGGAAGAACAAAUGUGUAAGUAACUAUGCACGUCUUGACGGUACCUAAUCAGAAAGCCACGGCUAACUACGUGCCAGCAGCCGCGGUAAUACGUAGGUGGCAAGCGUUAUCCGGAAUUAUUGGGCGUAAAGCGCGCGUAGGCGGUUUUUUAAGUCUGAUGUGAAAGCCCACGGCUCAACCGUGGAGGGUCAUUGGAAACUGGAAAACUUGAGUGCAGAAGAGGAAAGUGGAAUUCCAUGUGUAGCGGUGAAAUGCGCAGAGAUAUGGAGGAACACCAGUGGCAAAGGCGACUUUCUGGUCUGUAACUGACGCUGAUGUGCGAAAGCGUGGGGAUCAAACAGG
rnacentral:rRNA from 1 species